UAGGGGGCAAGCGUUGUCCGGAAUCAUUGGGCGUAAAGCGCGUGUAGGCGGCCCGGUAAGUCCGCUGUGAAAGUCGGGGGCUCAACCCUCGAAUGCCGGUGGAUACUGUCGGGCUAGAGUGCGGGAGAGGCGAGUGGAAUUCCUGGUGUAGCGGGGAAAUGCGUAGAUAUCGAGAGGAACACCUGCGGGGAAGGCGGGUUGCUGGGCUGACACUGACGCUGAGGCGCGAAAGCUAGGGGAGCGAACGGG
rnacentral:rRNA from 1 species